UAUUGAGUUGGCCAAAAGUUCCUUUGGGUUUUUCCAUAAAAUGCUAUGGAAAUACUCAAAUGAACUUUUUGGCCAAACCAAU
rnacentral:miRNA from 1 species